rnacentral:rRNA from 1 species
UACGGGGGGGGCAAGCGUUGUUCGGACUUACUGGGCGUAAAGGGCUCGUAGGUGGCCAACUAAGUCAGACGUGAAAUCCCCAGGCUCAACUUGGGAACUGCGUCUGAUACUGGAUGGCUUGAAUCCGGGAGAGGGAUGUGGAAUUCCAGGUGUAGCGGUGAAAUGCGUAGAUAUCUGGAGGAAUACCGGUGGCGAAGGCGGCAUCCUGGACCGGCAUUGACGCUGAGGAGCGAAAGCUAGGGGAGCAAACGGG